AUUUAUUUCGGACACGGAACAUGGCAACGCGAGGCAACAAACAUGUCGGCCGUUGUUUACAAAAUUUUAGCACUUCGAACGAGUUUUAAAACAAAAUGCUGAAGUCUGAAAGCUAUUUAGAAAGAGGAGACGCUCCAGCACAAGCCGUGCUUCGUGCGAAUGCCGAACAACUGGCCGUACGGAAGGCGAUUGAAACGCAAGAAGAGCUUCACAAAAUUCACGAGAGAGUGUGUAUUGUAAGUAUUGAACAAUUUUGUCUUAUUAAAUAUACACAUGUUUUAGUUCUUUGGGCAUUCUUAUUCUGACGACUAGUGAAAGAAAUAUGUGUUUAUUGAUGGGAUACAUAGCUGAUAGCUUGAC